rnacentral:rRNA from 1 species
UACGAAGGGGGCUAGCGUUGCUCGGAAUCACUGGGCGUAAAGGGUGCGUAGGCGGGUCUUUAAGUCAGGGGUGAAAUCCUGGAGCUCAACUCCAGAACUGCCUUUGAUACUGAGGAUCUUGAGUUCGGGAGAGGUGAGUGGAACUGCGAGUGUAGAGGUGAAAUUCGUAGAUAUUCGCAAGAACACCAGUGGCGAAGGCGGCUCACUGGCCCGAUACUGACACUGAAUAGCGAAAGCCAGGGGAGCAAACGGG